rnacentral:rRNA from 1 species
AGAUAAACCAAGAAGGUGAAUCAUAAUAACUUUGCAAAUCGAAACUACGUUUCGAUACAUCAUUCAAGUUUCUGACCUAUCAUGCUCUCGAUGGUAGUGUAUUGGACUACCAUGGCAGUCACGGGUAACGGAGAAUUAGGGUUCGAUUCCGGAGAAGGAGCCUGAGAAACGGCUACUACAUCUAAGGAAGGCAGCAGGCGCGUAAAUUACCCAAUCCUAAAUCAGGGAGGUAGUGACAAGAUAUAACAACGCGAUUAAAAUGUCGCGAUUGUAGUGAGGGUAUUCUAAAAAUAGCUUCGAGUACGAUUGGAGGGCAAGUCUGGUGCCAGCAGCCGCGGUAAUUCCAGCUCCAAUAGCGUAUAUUAAAGUUGCUGCAGUUAAAAAGCUCGUAGUUGAACUUCAUGAGCAGUAGG